rnacentral:rRNA from 1 species
GAUGAACGCUGGCGGCGUGCUUAACACAUGCAAGUCGAACGGAAAGGCCCAAGCUUGCUUGGGUACUCGAGUGGCGAACGGGUGAGUAACACGUGGGUGAUCUGCCCUGCACUUCGGGAUAAGCCUGGGAAACUGGGUCUAAUACCGGAUAGGACCACAUUUUGGAUGGUGUGGUGGAAAGUUUUUCGGUGUGGGAUGAGCUCGCGGCCUAUCAGCUUGUUGGUGGGGUAAUGGCCUACCAAGGCGUCGACGGGUAGCCGGCCUGAGAGGGUGUACGGCCACAUUGGGACUGAGAUACGGCCCAGACUCCUACGGGAGGCAGCAGUGGGGAAUAUUGCACAAUGGGCGCAAGCCUGAUGCAGCGACGCCGCGUGGGGGAUGACGGCCUUAGGGUUGUAAACUCCUUUCGCUAGGGACGAAGCGCAAGUGACGGUACCUGGAGAAGAAGCACCGGCUAACUACGUG